GCCUCUUCAUCACUUGGUUUACCAAUUGCCUUCUAAGCAGCCGGUCGAUGGUUCGAGUCCAUCAGGGGGCGUCA
rnacentral:tRNA from 1 species